ensembl:lncRNA
AAUAGCUCUGUGUGUUUACUUUGCUCUGCCCUCGCCUAUUCAGCCUGGACAUCUGAUGAGACAGGGGCGAUGGGACCUGCAUUAUAAUCUAGAGACAGAGAGAGAGAGAGAGAGCCUCUGGCUCCUGUCCUAGUCAGAUUCCCCCUUCUUUCGCAGGUGCUGCAGGUGUCCUGGAGGGCAGGUAGUUUGCCCUUGGUGAUGCGUUGGGCAGACCGCACCACCCUCUGGAGAGCCCUGCAGUUGCGGGUGGUGCAGUUGCCAGUUGUGUCAUGAACGUCGUCAGGGAAAUGACCGGACCAAGGUGCGGCGUGGGCCGUGGGGUGAGACAGGGAUGCAGCUUAAGCCCCACCCACUUCAACAUGUACAGUUGCAAGAAAAAGUGUGUGAACCCUUUGGAAUUACCUUGAUUUCUGCAUUGAUUACUCAUAAAAUGUGGUCUGAUCGUCAUUUUAGUCACAAUAAUAGACAAACACAAUCUGACAAUUUUUGAAGACUGAGUAAUCAUUCACAGUGCAGGCUGGAAAAAGUAAGUGAACCUCUGUGUUAACGACUUCUCCAAAAGCUAUUUGGAGUCAGG